UACGAAGGGGGCUAGCGUUGUUCGGAAUUACUGGGCGUAAAGCGCACGUAGGCGGAUCGAUCAGUCAGGGGUGAAAUGCCGGGGCUCAACCCCGGGACUGCGUCCGAUACUCCCGAGCUGGAGGCAGGUAGGGGAGAUCGGAAUUCCUGGUGUAGCGGUGAAAUGCGCAGAUAUCAGGAGGAACACCGGUGGCGAAGGCGGUUCUCUGGGCAUUACCUGACGCUGAGGAGCGAAAGUGUGGGGAGCGAACAGG
rnacentral:rRNA from 1 species